UUUUGUAUUUGAAUGCGCAUGUGUGUGUCCUUUUAAAACUCUUUCCAUUUGUACAAUGACAGAUUUCAGAUUGGAGUUAAUCUGAGCAUGGAAGACUAUGCCCUGACGUUUGGAAUUAAUCCCUUCAUUGCCUUGAUGAUUCAACCCAUCGUGACGAUGACUGUGGUUGACAACCAAGGACUGGGGCUUCCUGUUGACAUUCAGCACAAAGCAAAGCCCUCGCCAAAAGCCAGCCAGAUGCUGCCACCUGAUCUUGGACCUCCCAGCUUCCAGAACUUAUUAAGUCCAUCUGAGAAACUAGAGCCUUGGGACCCAGGGAUGAGGAAACUUACCGUACAGACAUGCGGGCUGACCUUCAUUCACCCUGCGGGCCAUGGCCUCUGCCAUCCAACUGCAGAGGCUUCAGCCGAAACUCUCUCCAGCACUGCCCUAAACAGACCAAGUGUGAGGGAGGGAGCAUGUAAUGAAAAGUCCACAGAGAACAAGAAGCCACAAGAUUCGGUGCUCUGGAGCCAUUCUAGAUGGUUUCAGGGGAACUAGCUUCCCACCUCUGACAGGGAUACCAUGGCAAAUACCACUCUUUGCCUAGGAUUAUAAUUCUUUGUGCACAAUGCAUCCCAUCCCAAAGACAGUCCACAGCAGGACUUGCUCCAUCUCUGAACUGGUCUUACCCCCUUAAACCUGCCUUUAUAUCUAGGAGUUUCUUUAUUUUAUUUUAUUUUUUUGAGACAGAGUCUCGCUCCAUUGCCCAGGCUGGACUGCAGCGGCGUGAUCUCAGCUCACUGCAACCUCCACCUCCUGGGUUCAAGUGAUUCUUGUGCCUCAGCCUCCCAAGUAGCUGGGAUUAAAGGCACGUGCCACCAUGACUGGCCAAUUUUUAUAUUUUUAGUAGAGAUGAGGUUUCACCAUGUUGGCCAGGCUGGUCUCAAACUCUUGACUUCAAGUGAUCCGCCCGCCUCAGCCUCCCAAAGUGCUGGGAUUACAGGUGUGAGCCACCAGGCCCAGCCUAUAUCUAGGAGUCUCUUGAUGAGCAUUGGUCGACAGAAAGAAGUCUCUUCUAAAAAUUGUUAAUGCUUUUAUAGACUACUCAUAGUCUGAGUCAUAAAACAUCAUUUGCCUUUCAAUUUAUACCUUCCAAGUGAAUAUGAUUAUUGAGGAUUAUCUAAUUAUUAUCUACGUUUCUCUCUAGAUAUAAAAAACACCAUAGAUCCUAUACACACAAAAAUGGUUUUUCUAUCAGAAAUGGACUCACUCGCCUGGCAAAAGGACACAGAUUAGAUUAUUCUAAUCUCAAGGCCCCUUAGGCUUAUGAAUUCAAAAAAAAAAAUAGAAGAAAUGAACAAAAACUUAAAUCACAGUUUGUUAUUAAGUAAUAUCUGAAAUGAAUUAGAAAGAAACCAUAAGCCUUAACAAUACUCCAAUCACAGUUAAAUUAAUUUAGACAGAAAAGCAAAUAGCAAUUGACUUGAAAAUAAGAAGUGGAGCCGAAGGUGGAUACAAGAAAUCCAGGAGGGCUAAGAUAAAUCCCAAAUCCAAUGUUCAUCAAUGCCUACACAUUCAGUACAACCUGAUGGCAUUAAUUCUGUGGUUGGGGAAAUGUGAAAGUGAAAUCGAUAAUACCACAGUUCUAAAUGUGCACUGUUGGCUGAACUUAUGGUGUGGUGGGGGGUGGUAAAAAUUAGGCUUCUAAGAAAGGAUGGGACUCUGCCCUCCAGGCAAGGAGUAAAUGGCCCCAGCAGAUGGAAAACUAAAGCAAAUGUAAUCACCUGCAUUUUGAAAAUAGGUGUGUUUCUGAGAAUUUGUUUGAAUUAGUUCUUUGUAAAUAAAACAGGAUUUUGAAUGCA
ensembl:lncRNA C2orf83 folate transporter-like protein C2orf83